rnacentral:rRNA from 1 species
ACGAAGGCCCUAGCUUGCUAGGUGUCCUUAGUGGCGCACGGGUGAGUAACACGUGGGAACAUACCUCAUAGUACGGAAUAACUGCGGGAAACUGUAGCUAAUACCGUAUAUUCCAGAAAUGGGAAAGAUUUAUCGCUAUGAGAUUGGCCCGCGCAAGAUUAGCUUGUUGGUAAGGUAAUGGCUUACCAAGGCUCCGAUCUUUAGCUGGUUUGAGAGGAUGAUCAGCCACACUGGGACUGAGACACGGCCCAGACUCCUACGGGAGGCAGCAGUAGGGAAUAUUGGACAAUGGGGGAAACCCUGAUCCAGCAAUGCAGCGUGAGUGACGAAGGCCUUAGGGUUGUAAAACUCUUUCAUCGGUGAGGAUAAUGACAGUAGCCGAAGAAGAAGGACCGGCUAAUUCCGUGCCAGCAGCCGCGGUAAUACGGAAGGUCCUAGCGUUGUUCGGAAUUACUGGGCGUAAAGCGCAUGUAGGCGGAACAAAAAGUUAGAAGUGAAAUCCCUGGGCUCAACCUAGGAAUGGCUUUUAAAACUUUUGUUCUGGAAUUCAGGAGAGGAAAAUGGAAUUUCCAGUGUAGAGGUGAAAUUCGUAGAUAUUGGAAGGAACACCAGUGGCGAAGGCGAUUUUCUGGACUGAUAUUGACGCUGAGAUGCGAAGGCAUGGGUAGCAAACGGGAUUAGAUACCCCGGUAGUCCAUGCAGUAAACGAUGGGUGCUAGUCGUCGGACUUUUGUUCGGUGUCGUAGCUAACGCGUUAAGCACCCCGCCUGGGGAGUACGGUCGCAAGAUUAAAACUCAAAUAAAUUGACGGGGACCCGCACAAGCAGUGGAGCAUGUGGUUUAAUUCGACGCAACGCGAAGAACCUUACCAGCGUUUGACAUGGGAAGUGCCGGUUACGGAAUGGUAACCUUCAGUUCG